CAGGCUGUGUCCUCCAUGAAAAUCCCCUCUCGCUCAAGCUGCAUGAAAAGCUCCCCACCUGCAAAAGAAAAAAGGCUUUUACCACAAACUCCAGUUUUAAGAGCAAACACAGGGAUGGAUGGAUGGAUAGUUAAGCUUCACCACAUCAUAUCACACUGCAAAUUUACCAUUUCAGCACAAAAAUUGCAACAAA